rnacentral:lncRNA from 1 species
AAGUUUUUAUCCCGUACCCAAGUGAUUAGUGAAGUGAAUGUUUCAUAUUUUAGUUAUUAAUAGACAUUUUUUCAGUGUAUAAAUUAUUUUUCUUCCCUCAACUGUACCUAGUUGUUUUCAGAAUUUGGUAUGCCUAGCGAAGCUUUCAAAACGGUACAGAUAUCUUCCAAAACGUUACAGAGAUCUUCCAAAUCGUUACAGAAAUCUUCCAAUUUAAAACGCUUAGUUGGCUUCCAAAAA